GGGACACGUGGUAUCCUGUCUGAAUAUGGGGGGACCAUCCUCCAAGGCUAAAUACUCCUGACUGACCGAUAGUGAACCAGUACCGUGAGGGAAAGGCGAAAAGAACCCCGGCGAGGGGAGUGAAAAAGAACCUGAAACCGUGUACGUACAAGCAGUGGGAGCCUCUUAAUGGGGUGACUGCGUACCUUUUGUAUAAUGGGUCAGCGACUUAUAUUCUGUAGCAAGGUUAACCGAAUAGGGGAGCCGAAGGGAAACCGAGUCUUAACUGGGCGUUAAGUUGCAGGGUAUAGACCCGAAACCCGGUGAUCUAGCCAUGGGCAGGUUGAAGGUUGGGUAACACUAACUGGAGGACCGAACCGACUAAUGUUGAAAAAUUAGCGGAUGACUUGUGGCUGGGGGUGAAAGGCCAAUCAAACCGGGAGAUAGCUGGUUCUCCCCGAAAGCUAUUUAGGUAGCGCCUCGUGAAUUCAUCUCCGGGGGUAGAGCACUGUUUCGGCAAGGGGGUCAUCCCGACUUACCAACCCGAUGCAAACUGCGAAUACCGGAGAAUGUUAUCACGGGAGACACACGGCGGGUGCUAACGUCCGUCGUGAAGAGGGAAACAACCCAGACCGCCAGCUAAGGUCCCAAAGUCAUGGUUAAGUGGGAAACGAUGUGGGAAGGCCCAGACAGCCAGGAUGUUGGCUUAGAAGCAGCCAUCAUUUAAAGAAAGCGUAAUAGCUCACUGGUCGAGUCGGCCUGCGCGGAAGAUGUAACGGGGCUAAACCAUGCACCGAAGCUGCGGCAGCGACACUAUGUGUUGUUGGGUAGGGGAGCGUUCUGUAAGCCUGUGAAGGUGUGCUGUGAGGCAUGCUGGAGGUAUCAGAAGUGCGAAUGCUGACAUAAGUAACGAUAAAGCGGGUGAAAAGCCCGCUCGCCGGAAGACCAAGGGUUCCUGUCCAACGUUAAUCGGGGCAGGGUGAGUCGACCCCUAAGGCGAGGCCGAAAGGCGUAGUCGAUGGGAAACAGGUUAAUAUUCCUGUACUUGGUGUUACUGCGAAGGGGGGACGGAGAAGGCUAUGUUGGCCGGGCGACGGUUGUCCCGGUUUAAGCGUGUAGGCUGGUUUUCCAGGCAAAUCCGGAAAACCAAGGCUGAGGCGUGAUGACGAGGCACUACGGUGCUGAAGCGACAAAUGCCCUGCUUCCAGGAAAAGCCUCUAAGCAUCAGGUAACAUCAAAUCGUACCCCAAACCGACACAGGUGGUCAGGUAGAGAAUACCAAGGCGCUUGAGAGAACUCGGGUGAAGGAACUAGGCAAAAUGGUG
rnacentral:rRNA from 1 species